UGUAGUGUAGGAUAGAGGUUUGAGCAUUGGACUAUGACUCUGGAGAUCAGGGUUCAAAUCCCUGCUCAGCCA